CUUCAUCGUCUUCUUCUCUUCCCAGAUCUCUCUUUCACCAUUACCACCACCUUCACCAUCACAGCAUUCGUCUUCACCAUCACCACCACCAUCCUCACCACAACUCCAUCACGCCGUCCUUACCACCGUCGCCGUCAUCCAUCACCACAUUCGUCGUUUCAUCUCGUCUUCAAUAAUAGAUCUGACCUUCGAUCUCGUCUUCUCCAUCACGCCGUCGGCGACCUUCGCGUUACCAUCACGCCGUCGGUGACCUCUGUCGCUCUCUCUUGUGACCUCUGUCGCUCUCUCUCUCUCUCUCUCCUGUCUCACGACCAGUGUCUCUCACGGUGUGCAUUCGAACGUCGCCGGUGAGUGACUUGCUUAGAAACAGUGACAAAGAAUAGCAACUGUGUACAGGGAAGGAAAAGGGAAAAAAGGGAAAGAAAGUGUAUACGGUGUCUUUUUUGUGUGAAAAUAUCUUUAUCCAUUUAUCAUUUCUGCUUUUUUUUUUUUUUCCUCUCUUUCUGUUGGUUAAAAACAAUGGAGAGAAAAAAAAAAAAAAGGAGAGAGAAUAAAAACAUAAUGUGAGUAUGAAAUAGAGAGUUGUCAAAAAGUUGUCACAAAAAUAGUUAUACAAAUAUCAUUUCUUAUUUCGAAAUCGCGCGACUUCGGCCCUCCUCCGUCCACCGCCGCCGGAUUCAACCCCUCCAGUUUUUGCCUCGCCCAACAACAGGGGAAGUGAAAACAAAAUUCAGAAUUAAUAGCUGACAAGUAGCAAGGGUGCAGUAUUAGAUAGAAAUAAUGCGGAUCGUUGGACUGACUGGUGGAAUAGCAAGUGGCAAGAGCACUGUUUCCAAUUUAUUCAAGUCUAAUGACAUCCCCGUUGUCGACGCUGAUGUAGUUGCCCGUGAGGCGUUGAAAAAAGGAAGUGGUGGAUGGAAAAAGGUUGUUGAAGCAUUCGGGGAGGAAAUUCUACUAGACAAUGGUGAAGUUAACAGACCCCGACUUGGCCAAAUUGUUUUUGCCGAUCCUGAUAAGCGUCAAUUUCUCAAUCGAUUGUUGGCUCCUUAUAUAUCCUCGGGGAUCUUUUGGGAAGUUGUGAAGCUGUGGUCAAAAGGUUAUAAGGUCAUCGUUCUCGACGUCCCUUUGUUAUUUGAGGCCAAGAUUGACAAGUUCACGAAGCCCAUAAUUGUUGUGUGGGUUGAUCCUGAAACACAGAUUCAGAGACUCUUGGCAAGAGACAAUUCUAGUGAGGAGGAUGGUCGGAACAGGGUUAAUGCUCAGAUGCCGCUUGAUGUUAAAAGGAGUAAAGCUGAUAUAGUAAUAGACAACACCGGUUCACUUGAUGACUUGAAUGAACAAUUUCAGAACGUUUUGGUUCGGGUCACUGGACCUUUGACAUGGUAUGAGUUUUGGCGUUCUAGGCAGGGAGUCUCGAUCAUUCUUGCUUCACUUACCUCGGGUGUUGUUCUAUGUAUGAAGGAUUUGGAUUGUUUGCAUACUACAGCCCAUGCAUUCACACAGUCAGCACAGAGGUUGCCAUUGGAUCAAGAUCGGCAAUCCAAAUCCAUAACUGUAACCUUUUGAAGGAAAUAUGGUGUGUAUGGGCAAAUCCAAAUAAGGAGAAGAUAAGAGAGGAGUGGGUGAAAAUAUCUUAAAAUUUAUGAAACGUUUAAAUCUCUGUGCCCCACUAAAUUGAGGAAUUGUUGCACACCUUCAUUACUGUUUUUGGCUACUCCAUAAGACAAGAUAUGCAAUAUUGAUAAUGGCUUGCACUAAGUGGAAGAUAACCUGGUAUCCAUUAUCAAAUCGUGCAGUAUUGAUAUGGAUGUUUUUGUUCUAAUAUUGAAUGAUACGGUUAUAUCAUUUGCCAAUAGACUCCGUAACAUCUUAUAUUCUUAUUCUAAUGAUUGAUGGUUUGAAGUGCAACUCCCACACUUCAGUCAUAAUCCAUUGUUUUAUUUAAUUAUUAUUUUUGAGGCA